rnacentral:rRNA from 1 species
GGCUCAGAACGAACGCUGGCGGCAUGCCUAACACAUGCAAGUCGAACGAGAAGAUACCUUCGGGUAUUGGAAAGUGGCGCACGGGUGAGUAACGCGUGGGAACCUGCCCAGAGGUACGGGAUAACGGCUGGAAACGGCCGCUAAUACCGUAUGUCCCCUGCGGGGGAAAGAUUUAUCGCCUUUGGAGGGGCCCGCGUCCGAUUAGCUAGUUGGUGAGGUAAUGGCUCACCAAGGCGACGAUCGGUAGCUGGUCUGAGAGGAUGAUC